rnacentral:misc_RNA from 1 species
UCUCCGUAGGUGAACCUGCGGAGGGAUCAUUACUGAGUGAGGGCUCCGGCCCGACCUCCAACCCCAUGUGAACUUGAAACCUGUUGCUUCGGGGGCGACCCUGCCUUUCGGCGCGGCGCCCCCGGAGGCUCAUCAAACACUGCAUCUUUGCGUCGGUGUCAUAAGUUAAUCAAACAAAACUUUCAACAACGGAUCUCUUGGUUCUGGCAUCGAUGAAGAACGCAGC